rnacentral:rRNA from 1 species
UAGGGAAUCUUCCACAAUGGACGCAAGUCUGAUGGAGCAACGCCGCGUGAGUGAAGAAGGCUUUCGGGUCGUAAAACUCUGUUAUUGAAGAAGAACGUGUGUGACAGUAACUGGUCAUGCAGUGACGGUAUUCAAUCAGAAAGUCACGGCUAACUACGUGCCAGCAGCCGCGGUAAUACGUAGGUGGCAAGCGUUGUCCGGAUUUAUUGGGCGUAAAGCGAGUGCAGGCGGUCUUUUAAGUCUGAUGUGAAAGCCUUCGGCUUAACCGAAGAAGGGCAUCGGAAACUGGGAGACUUGAGUG